UACGUAGGGUGCAAACGUUGCUCGGAAUCAUUGGGCGUAAAGCGCACGUAGGCGGCUUGUUAAGUCGGGUGUGAAAUCCCUGGGCUCAACCCAGGAAGUGCACUCGAAACUGGCGAGCUUGAGUAUGGAAGAGGUUCGCGGAAUUCCCGGUGUAGAGGUGAAAUUCGUAGAUAUCGGGAGGAACACCAGUGGCGAAGGCGGCGACCUGGGCCGAUACUGACGCUGAGGAGCGAAAGCGUGGGGAGCAAACAGG
rnacentral:rRNA from 1 species